AGAAAAGUAAGCUAAACCAAGCUAAUGGGUUCAUACCCCAUUUAUAGAGGGAAGACCUCUCUUCUCUA
rnacentral:tRNA from 1 species